CAAAUCCGACCUGUCCUGCAGAGGCCAGAUCUAAGGUCCCCUCCUCCAAGAAGCUUUCCUGACUCUGUGGCUCAGUCCUGUCCUUUACCUGUCGCUUCCUCCGUUGUGCAUGUUGUGGUAAGUCUUAGCUCCCUUACCAGACUGUAAGCUCCUUGAGAACGAGCACCAAGUCCCAUUUAUCUCCCUCCCUCUGAGCACAGAACCCUCAUAAGCAGCUGCUAAAGAAACCCUCAGCCUACAUUAUUGCAAAAUGGUACAGUGGUACCAUUUCUCUGAGGAAUACAAUGCCAAAAAAAAAAAAAGUGUAAAUAGUUUCCCUAUUUGUUACUCAGUAAAUUAUUGGAAGUUGAAGUUAUGAGGCUAUUGAGAAAAUUUAUAGGCUCUAAAGUGCUUUUACUAUUACUGCUGUGUUUCAUCUAGACUGUUGGUGGGUAAGCUAGCUGUGCUCAUGUACCGCACAGCCAAGAUACUGUCCAACCUGAUAACUCCUAAGUUUUUUCUGUAAGAGCAAGGGUAAGAAGACUUUAAUCUUUCGGUCUUAGCUCAUGAGAAACUAACCUUCUAAUCAAGCUAAUGCUUCAAAAGUAUCUAAGAAUAUACAUAAGCCAAGUCUAGGCUGUGUUAUUCUGAAUGAUAUAAGAAAAUGGAAGAGAUUUUCACAAUGGCUGAGAAAAGCGGGAAAUACGGAUUGGGCUGCCUGACAAUUGGUAAGUUGGGCCCAGAUGUGGGACACUCACAAUAACUGCUUAAUUCCCUUUCCUUAUCACUGCCUCUCACCAUUCGAUGCAAAAUAUUAUCUUAUUCUUACUGUCUCUUUCAUCACAUCAGACACCCCUUAUCGAGGACAAGAGACAGGGCGGUUUGCUGCAAGAACUGCUCCCAGCCAUUUCCAAAAAAGGGAAGACCUGAUUUUCCAGUUCUCAACAAGUCCAUUAAACAGCUUAAAAAAAAAAUAAUUAAAUAAACAAACAAACAAACAAGCACGUACCCUGCAAUACUUCUGCAGUUUUGCCCCUGUCUUUAGGGAGAUUACACUAGUUCUAAAUAGAAAGCGAUAAAUAAUUAUGACCUCAGUCUGCUCCUGCUUUCACACAGGCAGACAUUCUAAACGUUAGCUCCCUCUCCUAGCACCACCUGGUCCGCUCCUAACAAACCUCAAGAAAAAGAACUGCACUUUCCCUUGUCUUAUGACAUUAAAAAAAGAAGACAGAUGGUGACAUCAUGUGAAUUAUUCAUGUCAUCCUCACAUUAUUUAUAGUGGCGUAUUGAAGUGGGACGGUGAAGAGAAGUCUCUUUCGUUUACCCCAUCAGACCUGGUCUUACUCACGGCCUGCAGCGGAAUGAAACUGGAAGGACUGGAAUCAAGGUUAACUGCGACUCCUUUAUAAAUACUGAACCAAAAUGUUCAUUCCUGCUUUGGGGCUCUGCGUUUUUUCCAAAGUCACGCUCCGCAGGCCUAACUUCUGAAGGACCGCAACUCUCAGAGCCACGCUUCGGGGGCACAAGUCCCCUCGCAGAGGUGACACCUGCAGCAUUCGGCCUAACUGUCGAGUUUUGCUUCUCUCGCUCGCUGCUGCUGAAACGAGCGGACACUAACCCCCUCUACCUUGCGCAUGGGGGGUGGCAGGCGUUGGAAACAGGCUUCCUGUGUUUACAAAGGGCAAUUUAAAGAAGAGGAAAAAAACACAUCUUCUCAUGCACCAACGCUUGCUGUCCAGGUUUAAAGCACCGUGAACCGAAGGAGCGUCCGUCCGGGGAGCGCCCGCGCGGGCACGCGCCUGGGUCACCGGGGCAGGCUGGCGCCGCCGGCCCGGGAGCCCGGUCUCCUUACUGCACAGCCUCCCCCCGCAGGGCGGUGCGCCCCGGGGGCUGUGGGGGCCGGCGGGGGCCUCGGACGAGAAGCCGGAGCAGGUGCAGGCGCCGGGCGCAGGUGAGGAGGUGCGGACACCUGCACAAAGGCGAAGGCGCGAGCUUCCGGGGCGAAGCCGGCCGCCGGCGUCGGCUCCCGGCUCCCGGCUCCUGCCUACGCGCCAGCAGGUCGGAGGCUCGUCCGGGAGCCCGCGCGGCGGCCCAGCGCGCCCCGGGGAGCCCGGGGGGAGCCCCGGGGGAGCCCCGGGGGGGGGGGCCCGGCGGAGCCCCGACGCCCCCCCGCCCAGACCUCGGAGCAGAAUGGCUGGAUCUACGGUAACUCAAUGCUUAACCAGAGCUGCCAGAUAUUUUCCAAACAGCCACAUCACUUUCCGUUCCCACCAACAUGACAGAUGGGAUCUACAUCCUCUCCCCUUGAAACUGGAGGGCUUUUGUGACUGUUUCAACCAAUAGAGUAUGGCAGAGGUGACGCACCAUGGCUUCUGAGACCACUGUUAAAAGGGAAGUUUCUGCUUCUCUAAAUACUUGAUCUUGAAGCCUCCAACCUGACUGUCCGGAAGCCACCAUGCAGUGCGGAAGCCUGAGCGACCCCUGCAGACACUGCUUGGAAAGGCCCAGAGACUUCAGAGAUGUCCUGCUGCCCCCAGAUGUUUCAGCCCUCUGCCAUUCCAGUCCCAGCCACUGUCUGGCCGUAACUAUGUACAUGGCUCCUGGCUAGAACUCGAGUUCCUGAUCCACAGAAACCAAGAGAAAAAAUACCAAGAGAAAAAAUAGCUCUUAAAGCCAUGAUGGUCAGGCCUCUUGGAGGCCAGACUUGGGAGUUUUUUGGUGGUACCUUUUGGUUGUACCUGAAGCAACACCUUCAUUUACUUUGGUCCUAAGGACUCUCGUAUCACUGAAUUAUCACUUAUGAUCUCUGUGGGGAAGACUGUUUCAGUUAUCAUGCUAGGUCUACUGCCUAACGUGCCGACCAAGUCCACUUGGCUUGUAAUGGUUAGUUGACAUUAAUCGGCUUCUACAAAGGAUCUUUCCAGCUCUGAUGAAAUCAAAGAGCCAGUUAAAUAAUUUGGAAUGUGUUCCUUUCACCUGUCAAAGGCUUGGUUAAGGGACUGGAUUAUGGAUCUUCUGUGGGAAUAGCGAGGCCUUGUGAAGGUCCUCACAAUAUAAAUCCAUGGUAGCAUUUCUUUUUCCUAAAGAUGUUGGGUUCUUCUUUUUACAUUAUAUAUUAAUGGAGUUCUGAGUGGGUUGAUUGUCAAGCUGUUUCUUCAACCAGCUAAGCAAACAAUUAAAACCGCUCCCAGCAGCUCAAACCAAAAUGCUAAAUUCAGAGUCUCUGUUGACUGAACUCAAGUAAGACUCAAUAAUUUCUGAAACUAGGCUCUCCUUUUAACUGAUAACCAAAAUACUCCAUUCCUACCCAUAGGGUUCCAGGUUUUUCCUGAGACUCAGAAUCCUUCAAAUCCUUAUAAAUAUACACAUCCCAAUACUAUGCACCAUGCUUUUUGCCUCCCAAAUUUCCUUACCUUCACAUUAUAAAAACAAAAAACCCCCACAAAACUUGAUGACUCUGAAUUCAACUGGUAUUACUUGGUAACCUGCAAGAUCAAACAUAAAGUUUCACUUGCCUGUUUUAGGACUGUGAAUGCAAGAAAUGUUUAUAGUCACAGAAGAUCCCUGGGUUUCGCUCCCUGCCUUGACUUCAAGUAGCAGUCCUUGAAGUUCUCAUGCCUUUUUUGUUUUACAGCAGCUAUGAAGGAGAUACCCAAUGUCUUGUCUUCACUAGGCACUUCAUUAGCUGUCUCACCACAAGCUACCAGAUUCCCAGCGGGUCAGAUGCUAUUGAUGCUGCUAUGAUCCUGUUUCUAAUGUCCUGCCUUCAUUGUGGUGCUCAAGAUUGAUGGACCUGGUGCCUAAUGAUGAAGAAAAACAGGAUAUCUCCAACUUUGGUAUCUGUAGUGUGGGGCCAGGGGCAUUCCCAAAAUCAGGAAGGCAGUUUGGAUGAACAGCAGUCCUCCAAAGUACAUUUGUUUGAUGAAUUACCUUUGCUGUCCUUUUUUUCACUCUGUCUUCUUAAAGUCUCUAUUAUUUUAUAGGGUUCCAAAAGGGGAGACAAAUUCCUGUGAUCAGCUCUUAGCCUGACUGAUCCUAACUCUUCCUUUAAAAUCUUUUACUUAUUUUGGGAAAUUAAAAUAUUUAAAGAUGAAAACAAAGGAAAAAUGAACAAGUAUUCAUACUU